rnacentral:rRNA from 1 species
AGCGAACGCUGGCGGCAGGCCUAACACAUGCAAGUCGAGCGGCCGUAGCAAUACGGCAGCGGCAGACGGGAGAGUAACACGUGGGAACGCGCCCUUCGGUCUGGAAUAACCCAGGGAAACUUGGGCUAAUACCGGAUACGCCCUUACGGGGAAAGAUUUAUUGCCGAAGGAACGGCCCGCGUCCGAUUAGCUAGUUGGUGAGGUAACGGCUCACCAAGGCGACGAUCGGUAGCUGGUCUGAGAGGAUGACCAGCCUCACUGGGACUGAGACACGGCCCAGACUCCUACGGGAGGCAGCAGUGGGGAAUAUUGGACAAUGGGCGCAAGCCUGAUCCAGCCAUGCCGCGUGGGUGAUGAAGGCCCUAGGGUUGUAAAGCCCUUUCAGCGGGGAAGAUAAUGACGGUACCCGCAGAAGAAGCCCCGGCUAACUUCGUGCCAGCCGCCGCCGUAA